CCAUCGCCAGCUGCCGGUGUCUCUGCCAUUGAAUGACCGACAGGUAUCGGUGGAGGGGACAGGUCACCGCCAGAUGGUUUACCCGAUGAGUAUGAAUGCUGCCAAUACUAGGUCAAUCCCAGAGGCGGAAAUCAAUAGUCUCCUGGAGGACAAGGGGGACCUGGUGGUCAGCGACAAGACACACUUCGGAACACUGCUGCUGGUAGAGAGCCGGGAGCUGGUGGUCUUGAUACAGUGGGGAACCAAGGCUUAGAGACCCAUAGACUGAAGUGCUGUGAGUUUGCUGGCUGAGACUCAGAGGAGCACUUCACCCUAGGUACUGUGACAGACCCACCGGUACAAAGAAAUUGAGUCCUACAGCACCCUGCUCUAACACAGAUCCAAUAUGGGGAUAUUCAGGGCCUAUCCGGAAAGCGCACCCCCAUAGUGGGCCCUGCUCUCUACCCGUGGUCCAGGCUUCCCGGGCCUACUAGGUCUACUGGGCCUAAUGCACUGCUCAAUAGUGUUGGGAAGGAGAUGAGUGAGAUCAAUGGAGAUGUGGUUGUAGAGAAUGCCGAGGCUCAUCAGGACAUUGUUCACAAGCCUGCCGUAUGAGCAGAAGAGAGAGACGUGGAGAUCGCACCAGGGGAGAAGUUAUCUGUGAAAGUGGGCUGCCGAGCUAAGUAAGUCAUGCUUAGCUAGCCGCUACAACAUACAUCUGAUAUGGUUGUCAAUUUCUGGUGGGAUCACGUGUAAUGCUGUCUUUUAUCUAUUAUCUGACUGAAUCAAUUGCAUAUGGAGAUUCUGUUUUUUGAACAAUGAUUUGUGUCCCUCCAUCCUCCUGAGUAGCGCAGCGGUCUAAGGCACUACAUCUCAGUGCAUGAGGCAUCACUACAGUCCCUGGUUCAA